rnacentral:lncRNA from 1 species
AUACUUUUUGGUGCAUCACUUGCACCAACCUUUACAAAUGCAAGAUAAACCUUGCAAUUCUUUUUCCAAUAUCUUGCCUUGUCGCAGUGAAAGCAGGUACCUUAUCCAGAGGCUUUCUUCUCCUUCUUCUUUAUCUUGCCAUCUUUAGGGUUCAAUGCUUUCUUUGAACCCUUCAUAUUUGAUUUCUUCUUAAAGAUCUUAUCCAUAAGAAGAACUGGAGUCUUAUUUCUUUUAAUAUAGCCCUCAGCUAUUUAAAGCAUAUUUAACAGCUC